GGUGAGGUCCGCCUGCAGGCAGGGGCAGCGGUUUGCUAAACCGUCGGUCGACUCCGGUCGGCCCGUGAGUUCGAAUCUCACUCUCACCG
rnacentral:tRNA from 1 species